UACGUAGGGUGCAAGCGUUGUCCGGAAUUAUUGGGCGUAAAGAGCUCGUAGGCGGUCUGUCGCGUCGGCUGUGAAAACCCGGAGCUCAACUCCGGGCCUGCAGUCGAUACGGGCAGACUGGAGUUCGGCAGGGGAGACUGGAAUUCCUGGUGUAGCGGUGAAAUGCGCAGAUAUCAGGAGGUACACCGGUGGCGAAGGCGGGUCUCUGGGCCGAUACUGACGCUGAGGAGCGAAAGCGUGGGGAGCGAACAGG
rnacentral:rRNA from 1 species